UAGGGAAUCUUCGGCAAUGGGGGCAACCCUGACCGAGCAACGCCGCGUGAGUGAAGAAGGUUUUCGGAUCGUAAAGCUCUGUUGUAAGAGAAGAACGUGUGUAAGAGUGGAAAGUUCACACAGUGACGGUAACUUACCAGAAAGGGACGCCUAACUACUUGCCAGCAGCCCGGGUAUUACGUAGGUCCCGAGCGUUGUCCGGAUUUAUUGGGCGUAAAGCGAGCGCAGGCGGUUUAAUAAGUCUGAAGUUAAAGGCAGUGGCUUAACCAUUGUUCGCUUUGGAAACUGUUAAACUUGAGUGCAGAAGGGGAGAGUGGAAUUCCAUGUGUAGCGGUGAAAUGCGUAGAUAUAUGGAGGAACACCGGUGGCGAAAGCGGCUCUCUGGUCUGUAACUGACGCUGAGGCUCGAAAGCGUGGGGAGCAAACAGG
rnacentral:rRNA from 1 species